AUUGAACGCUGGCGGCAUGCCUUACACAUGCAAGUCGAACGGUAACAGGUCUUCGGAUGCUGACGAGUGGCGAACGGGUGAGUAAUACAUCGGAACGUGCCCGAUCGUGGGGGAUAACGCAGCGAAAGCUGUGCUAAUACCGCAUACGAUCUACGGAUGAAAGCGGGGGAUCGCAAGACCCCGCGCGGACGGAGCGGCCGAUGGCAGAUUAGGUAGUUGGUGGGAUAAAAGCUUACCAAGCCGACGAUCUGUAGCUGGUCUGAGAGGACGACCAGCCACACUGGGACUGAGACACGGCCCAGACUCCUACGGGAGGCAGCAGUGGGGAAUUUUGGACAAUGGGCGCAAGCCUGAUCCAGCCAUGCCGCGUGCAGGAUGAAGGCCUUCGGGUUGUAAACUGCUUUUGUACGGAACGAAAAAGCUCUCCCUAAUACAGGGGGUGAAUGACGGUACCGUAAGAAUAAGCACCGGCUAACUACGUGCCAGCCGCCGCCGUAACAC
rnacentral:rRNA from 1 species